AGCCUUUACAAUACACGAAAGUGUGAUAAGGGAAUCCUAAGUGCUUAUGUUUUGCAUAAGCUUUUGUUAAGAGUAAAAAUCUUAUCGAAUAAGUGGUGGGUAAAACUGGUGCCAGCAGCCGCGGUAACACCAGCGCCACGAGUGGGGACCACAUUUAUUGGGCCUAAAGCGUCCGUACCCGGUUUGGUAAGUCUUCUGUGAAAUCAUUGGGCUCAACUUAAUGAGGUGCAGAGGAGACUGCUAGACUAGGAACCGGGAGGAGUUAGAGGAAUUCUGAGGGGCGCGGUAAAAUGCGAUAAUCCUCAGAGGACCACCUGUGGCGAAGGCGUCUAACUAAAACGGGUUCAACGGUGAGGGACGAAAGCUAUGGGAGCAAACCGGAUUUAAUACCCGAGUAG
rnacentral:rRNA from 1 species